rnacentral:rRNA from 1 species
CGCGGCCUAUCAGCUUGUUGGUGAGGUAAUGGCUCACCAAGGCGUCGACGGGUAGCCGGCCUGAGAGGGUGACCGGCCACACUGGGACUGAGACACGGCCCAGACUCCUACGGGAGGCAGCAGUGGGGAAUAUUGCACAAUGGGCGGAAGCCUGAUGCAGCAACGCCGCGUGAGGGAUGACGGCCUUCGGGUUGUAAACCUCUUUUAGCAGGGAAGAAGCGAAAGUGACGGUACCUGCAGAAAAAGCACCGGCUAACUACGUGCCAGCAGCCGCGGUAAUACGUAGGGUGCAAGCGUUAUCCGGAAUUAUUGGGCGUAAAGAGCUCGUAGGCGGUCUGUCGCGUCUGCUGUGAAAUUCCGAGGCUCAACCUCGGGCUUGCAGUGGGUACGGGCAGACUAGAGUGCGGUAGGGGAGAUUGGAAUUCCUGGUGUAGCGGUGGAAUGCGCAGAUAUCAGGAGGAACACCGAUGGCGAAGGCAGAUCUCUGGGCCGUAACUGACGCUGAGGAGCGAAAGGGUGGGGAGCAAACAGGCUUAGAUACCCUGGUAGUCCACCCCGUAAACGUUGGGAACUAGUUGUGGGGUCCUUUCCACGGAUUCCGUGACGCAGCUAACGCAUUAAGUUCCCCGCCUGGGGAGUACGG